ACCAGCGUGGUGUAGUGGUUUGAGCAUUGGACUAUGACUCAGGAGGCCAGGGUUCAAAUCCCAGCCCUGCCA